CCUACGGGAGGCAGCAGUAGGGAAUCUUCCGCAAUGGACGAAAGUCUGACGGAGCAACGCCGCGUGAGUGAUAGAAGGUUUUCGGAUCGUAAAGCUCUGUUGUUAGGGAAGAACAAGUGCCGUUCAAAUAGGGCGGCACCUUGACGGUACCUAACCAGAAAGCCACGGCUAA
rnacentral:rRNA from 1 species